CUUUCCAACCCUGAGGGUCAGGGCCAAGACCAGAGAGGACACCCGACCCUAAGACAUGGCCUAUGGCUGUUCAGAGGAUGGAGAGAAUGAGCAUCAGGCCAGGGCGGGAGCAUUUGUGUCUCACUUCCCCAUCUGUCUGUGUCACUGUGAGUCAUUGCCAGGUGCUCCCAAUGACAUGGUGAUCCUGGCGUCUGUCCCAGGGCCACUGACACUGACAGGAGCCGAGUCAGCUCAUUGGAGGCCACAGAACCUGCAAGAGAGAUUAUGAGAGGUGCACGUGGAGUUGUUAAAGGUCCAUGGAGCUGCUGUAAGAGUCUACCCUUGGCCAUGAGCUCUUGGACAGGUGGUAAGUGCUGUGUCUCAGAAUCUCCAAUGUGUGGCUGGGGCAGGGACAUAUCACAUGCUCAAAAGAUAUGAUUUGAGUAUAAGAGAAUGAAAUUGGCUGAAUUCUAAGAAUACUUCAUGUGAAAUUGAAAUGAUAAUUUUGACUUCAGUUGCUAGGGAAAAUGCAUUAGGUAAUAAAAAUAUUUAAUAUAAUGUA